UGAACGCUAGCGGGAUGCUUUACACAUGCAAGUCGAACGGCAGCGCGAGAGAGCUUGCUCUCUUGGCGGCGAGUGGCGGACGGGUGAGUAAUAUAUCGGAACGUGCCCAGUAGCGGGGGAUAACUACUCGAAAGAGUGGCUAAUACCGCAUACGCCCUACGGGGGAAAGGGGGGGAUCGCAAGACCUCUCACUAUUGGAGCGGCCGAUAUCGGAUUAGCUAGUUGGUGGGGUAAAGGCUCACCAAGGCAACGAUCCGUAGCUGGUUUGAGAGGACGACCAGCCACACUGGGACUGAGACACGGCCCAGACUCCUACGGGAGGCAGCAGUGGGGAAUUUUGGACAAUGGGGGAAACCCUGAUCCAGCCAUCCCGCGUGUAUGAUGAAGGCCUUCGGGUUGUAAAGUACUUUUGGCAGAGAAGAAAAGGUAUCCCCUAAUACGGGAUACUGCUGACGGUAUCUGCAGAAUAAGCACCGGCUAACUACGUGCCAGCAGCCGCGGUAAUACGUAGGGUGCAAGCGUUAAUCGGAAUUACUGGGCGUAAAGCGUGUGUAGGCGGUUCGGAAAGAAAGAUGUGAAAUCCCAGGGCUCAACCUUGGAACUGCAUUUUUAACUGCCGAGCUAGAGUAUGUCAGAGGGGGGUAGAAUUCCACGUGUAGCAGUGAAAUGCGUAGAUAUGUGGAGGAAUACCGAUGGCGAAGGCAGCCCCCUGGGAUAAUACUGACGCUCAGACACGAAAGC
rnacentral:rRNA from 1 species